CUGGCACAGAGACUUUGUCUCCCACACUGACUUCAAAUAUCUUUGGGAAUCUGUGCUCCUUAUUUACUCAGUGCUUGAGAAGAACAGACAAAGCCAGUGGAAGGGUCCGAGUGUGGCAUUCGCUGCAUUUAUAAAGAAUAAGAGCUGCAGUGGGUAUGAUUCUUGAACAGAGUGGCGCUCAUCCUUGUUCCUGCAAUGAAGGACACGCCAGCCUCCAGGCUCUUUGACAGAUGAUUGGAACUAUGCAAAUAUUAUGGAAGAUAUCCCAUGUCAAGAAGCUGACAGCACACACGUUUGGGAAGGAUUUAGUGGCUGAAGCACUUCUAGAAGACAUCACCAAAAUGAAACAGUCUACUAUCAGCAAAGAAUGCCAGAGCAAGAGUGUGAAAGGAACGGAGAGCACAGAGCCGUGAUGCUGCCCCCUGCUGAUGGUGCAGGAGAAAGGAUGCAGCCUCAGUGUACGAUUCCCGCCAAAAGUACCAGACACACUAGAAGCUAAAGGGUGAAAAUAGGGUUUCUCUGCUGCAAUUCCAUCUCUUCCUCUAGAAACUUGUCAUAGGAAUGACUCCCUGUAACUUCCCCACCUGCCUCUUCUUUCCUUAAGUAGUGGCUAACAGAAUCCCCUUCCUUCCUCAGUCCUUGCUAAGUGACUGAAUUCAGAAACUCCUGUACAGUAUUACAACCAUCUGUAGUAUUGGUCUUUGGAGCUCUAGACUUAUUUUAGAAAGAAAAAGGUGGAAAAUCAUCCAAGAAUUUUCCUGUGCACAGCAGAGGGAUCUGUUUCUCUUACCAUCAGAAAGGGAUUCAUAGUCAUAAUCAUAUUCGUCCUCCUCAUCUUCCUCUUCCUCAUUAUUGGCAGGUGGGGGGUUGGCAUUCCCACCAUUAUAAGCCUGCGCUUGCAUAGAUGCUAACUGAUGAGCCUGUAAAAUAGCAAUAAUUGUAAACUGCAGAUGCCAAGCUACUGAAUUCAUUUAUAACCUUCAAAACUACCCCUGAUGUUUAACACAAUCAUUAAAAGUAGCUUAACCUAUUUUGAUACAUUUGGGAGAGGAGGAAAAACAUCUAGAUUCACUUGAAACACAAUGUCAACACUUGGGUGAACUUCAGCAUUCCUGCAGGAAGAGUCCUGGAGCUUUUACACACAAUCUCCAGAAGACCGUGUGCGGUGCUCAGCUAGCCAGGUUCCCGGGACAACCCCUCCAAGAGAAAGUUUUGGUGAUUUGGAGAACCAGCAGCAAUCCCAAAUGACUGAAGAAGUGAGUCACCCAUCAGUUUUUCAAAAGUAUGUCUCUGUUAAGAAACCAUUUUUUCCCCUUCUUAAAAUAAUAUCUACAGGCCCCUGACCUUGAGAACAAUGUUAGAAUCCCUAUGGACAAAGAGGCCAAAAGAAUUGUUGUUGGUUUAAAUAAAAUUUUUUUCAAAAGGC